CAAUGAUCACAUCUUUUACAUGGUCAAGUAAUUUAAACCAUUAAAUUGCACUUCAUCUAAAAAGCAUAAAAACAUAAAAGUAUAUCUAUUAUUAAGAUCCCCCCCCAAAUCAAGAUAUGAAACUCUUUGUUUGAUGGCUUAUUUAAAUCUCCCAACUACAAUUGCUUGAUACUCCGAACCCGACAGAUCAAUCACAUUUGGAUUGCCCACGUUGGCUGCCUCGUGGUCGCGGUUAGCCCACUCGACAAGAACACCUUCCAAGCCAAUCUGUCUGGGCCACUGAAACCAACAAAGGAGGGUGACAGGAGUGUGAUGCUGCCGCUUUGGAAGAAGAUUAGGAGCGAGAAGGAAGUGGUGUUGCUGGUGGGAGUGAAUCGGCAAAACCAGAGGCUGUGCUUGGGGUCGACAAUGAUGUUGGAGGACUUGACGCCGUUGAUAUGAUUGAGAGUGAGAUGCAAUCUGAAAUCAAAGAUGUUGUUGGAACGGCAAAUGGCGUCAGUGACACCAGAUGACCAGAUGCAGCGAAGACGGAGAGGCAAGUCUUCCACAGGAGGGCCAAUACUGAAUCUAAUGAGUUGCUGCGAAUAUUUAUAGGAUAGCGCAUAUCGAUGUAUGGGUUGUGAAGGUGAAGAUGAGAGGCAAGGGAGAGAAAAGCUAAGAAUCAAUAUUUUAUUGACUCAGUGUACUACAGUUAACUUUCAAAUGUGGCUAUUCACUAUAACACAAAUUUUACUUUGGCUAAUUUGCUGGAAGAGCAAAAUGGCUCAUAAGAGUACCUGCUGAAGAUGCUCUAAUGUGGUAGUCAAUGACUUUGUUUCUUCUGCUUUUCAAUCUCGCUGUUACCCAAGGAAUACAAAACGAUGUAUCUUAGCAAUUGCCCUAAAAUACGAGGGAAAGCAAAAAAUAAUGGUUCGUUUGAGUAUUGAAUUUUGAGAAUUCUAAUUGAA